UACGUAGGGUGCGAGCGUUGUCCGGAAUUAUUGGGCGUAAAGAGCUCGUAGGCGGUUUGUUGCGUCGGCUGUGAAAACCUACAGCUUAACUGGGGAACUGCGUGUGAUACUGGAUGGCUUGGAUUUGGGAGAGGGAUGCGGAAUUCCAGGUGUAGCGGUGAAAUGCGUAGAUAUCUGGAGGAACACCGGUGGCGAAGGCGGCAUCCUGGACCAAUAUUGACGCUGAGGAGCGAAAGCCAGGGGAGCAAACGGG
rnacentral:rRNA from 1 species